CACUAUCGUUAACUGAAUACAUAGGUUAACGAGGCGAACCGGGGGAACUGAAACAUCUAAGUACCCCGAGGAAAAGAAAUCAACCGAGAUUCCCCCAGUAGCGGCGAGCGAACGGGGAGCAGCCCAGAGUCUGAAUCAGCUUGUGUGUUAGUGGAACGGUCUGGAAAGUCCGACGGUACAGGGUGAUAGUCCCGUACACCAAAAUGCACAGGUUGUGAACUCGAAGAGUAGGGCGGGACACGUGGUAUCCUGUCUGAAUAUGGGGGGACCAUCCUCCAAGGCUAAAUACUCCUGACUGACCGAUAGUGAACCAGUACCGUGAGGGAAAGGCGAAAAGAACCCCGGCGAGGGGAGUGAAAAAGAACCUGAAACCGUGUACGUACAAGCAGUGGGAGCACCUUCGGGUGUGACUGCGUACCUUUUGUAUAAUGGGUCAGCGACUUAUAUUCUGUAGCAAGGUUAACCGUAUAGGGGAGCCGCAGGGAAACCGAGUCUUAACUGGGCGUUAAGUUGCAGGGUAUAGACCCGAAACCCGGUGAUCUAGCCAUGGGCAGGUUGAAGGUUGGGUAACACUAACUGGAGGACCGAACCGACUAAUGUUGAAAAAUUAGCGGAUGACUUGUGGCUGGGGGUGAAAGGCCAAUCAAACCGGGAGAUAGCUGGUUCUCCCCGAAAGCUAUUUAGGUAGCGCCUCGUGAACUCAUCUUCGGGGGUAGAGCACUGUUUCGGCUAGGGGGUCAUCCCGACUUACCAACCCGAUGCAAACUACGAAUACCGAAGAAUGUUAUCACGGGAGACACACGGCGGGUGCUAACGUCCGUCGUGAAGAGGGAAACAACCCAGACCGCCAGCUAAGGUCCCAAAGUCAUGGUUAAGUGGGAAACGAUGUGGGAAGGCACAGACAGCCAGGAUGUUGGCUUAGAAGCAGCCAUCAUUUAAAGAAAGCGUAAUAGCUCACUGGUCGAGUCGGCCUGCGCGGAAGAUGUAACGGGGCUAAACCAUGCACCGAAGCUGCGGCAGCGACACUAUGUGUUGUUGGGUAGGGGAGCGUUCUGUAAGCCUGCGAAGGUGUGCUGUGAGGCAUGCUGGAGGUAUCAGAAGUGCGAAUGCUGACAUAAGUAACGAUAAAGCGGGUGAAAAGCCCGCUCGCCGGAAGACCAAGGGUUCCUGUCCAACGUUAAUCGGGGCAGGGUGAGUCGACCCCUAAGGCGAGGCCGAAAGGCGUAGUCGAUGGGAAACAGGUUAAUAUUCCUGUACUUGGUGUUACUGCGAAGGGGGGACGGAGAAGGCUAUGUUAGCCGGGCGACGGUUGUCCCGGUUUAAGCAUGUAGGCUGGUUGUCCAGGCAAAUCCGGAUAAUCAAGGCUGAGGUGUGAUGACGAGGCACUACGGUGCUGAAGUAACAAAUGCCCUGCUUCCAGGAAAAGCCUCUAAGCAUCAGGUAACAUCAAAUCGUACCCCAAACCGACACAGGUGGUCAGGUAGAGAAUACCAAGGCGCUUGAGAGAACUCGGGUGAAGGAACUAGGCAAAAUGGUGCCGUAACUUCGGGAGAAGGCACGCUGGUGUGUAGGUGAAGUCCCUGCGGAUGGAGCUGAGACCAGUCGAAGAUACCAGCUGGCUGCAACUGUUUAUUAAAAACACAGCACUGUGCAAACACGAAAGUGGACGUAUACGGUGUGACGCCUGCCCGGUGCCGGAAGGUUAAUUGAUGGGGUUAUCCGUAAGGAGAAGCUCUUGAUCGAAGCCCCGGUAAACGGCGGCCGUAACUAUAACGGUCCUAAGGUAGCGAAAUUCCUUGUCGGGUAAGUUCCGACCUGCACGAAUGGCGUAAUGAUGGCCAGGCUGUCUCCACCCGAGACUCAGUGAAAUUGAACUCGCUGUGAAGAUGCAGUGUACCCGCGGCAAGACGGAAAGACCCCGUGAACCUUUACUAUAGCUUGACACUGAACAUUGAGCCUUGAUGUGUAGGAUAGGUGGGAGGCUUUGAAGCGUGGACGCCAGUCUGCGUGGAGCCAACCUUGAAAUACCACCCUUUAAUGUUUGAUGUUCUAACGUUGGCCCCUUACCGGGGUUGCGGACAGUGUCUGGUGGGUAGUUUGACUGGGGCGGUCUCCUCCCAAAGCGUAACGGAGGAGCACGAAGGUUAGCUAAUCCUGGUCGGACAUCAGGAGGUUAGUGCAAUGGCAUAAGCUAGCUUGACUGCGAGCGUGACGGCGCGAGCAGGUGCGAAAGCAGGUCAUAGUGAUCCGGUGGUUCUGAAUGGAAGGGCCAUCGCUCAACGGAUAAAAGGUACUCCGGGGAUAACAGGCUGAUACCGCCCAAGAGUUCAUAUCGACGGCGGUGUUUGGCACCUCGAUGUCGGCUCAUCACAUCCUGGGGCUGAAGUAGGUCCCAAGGGUAUGGCUGUUCGCCAUUUAAAGUGGUACGCGAGCUGGGUUUAGAACGUCGUGAGACAGUUCGGUCCCUAUCUGCCGUGGGCGCUGGAGAAUUGAGGGGGGCUGCUCCUAGUACGAGAGGACCGGAGUGGACGCAUCACUGGUGUUCGGGUUGUCAUGCCAAUGGCACUGCCCGGUAGCUAAAUGCGGAAGAGAUAAGUGCUGAAAGCAUCUAAGCACGAAACUUGCCCCGAGAUGAGUUCUCCCUGAGACUUUAAGUCUCCUGAAGGAACGUUAAAGACGAUGACGUUGAUAGGCCGGGUGUGUAAGCGCAGCGAUGCGUUGAGCUAACCGGUACUAAUGAACCGUGAGGCUUAACCUU
rnacentral:rRNA from 1 species